UAGCCCAGCAUGCAUGUCAGUGCUUAUC
rnacentral:piRNA from 1 species